UCUCAACCCCCUUCUUGAUGCAUAAACACUCACCCAGCUGAGGUGGGAGGGACAAAUCUUCUGUCUAGGAUUUUGAGCAAAGUAUUCUCACUGGAAGGUGACUGUACUGAGAACAGGAAGCCAGGAGAAAUGUAAUGGCCAUUACUUCUGCCACAGUUGCUCUGCAGAGAAAGCCUCAGGUGGAAAUAACAGCUCUGUGCACAUUAGGCCAGACUGAUGACUUGCAUAAAUAUUUCUCUUCAGUGAAGAUGGCUCGUCCAACUUAGCAGCUGCCAGCAUCUACUAGAGUCAUGCAAGUUAGCCCUCCUGAACACAAGCUAUUUAAGUCUCAACUAAUGAAGCAUCCAGAAACUAUUUAGCUACAAUCAAACAGAACUGUUGAGUCUAUGCUGAACUCAUAAAUGUGAUGUACAGCAAUUUCAAACACUCUAACUGUAGCCUGGGAAACAUUCAGAAAUAAUUCAUGUUGUGGAAAAAAAAAUGUAUAUAAGCAAAAAAUACAUUAUUUUAUGCCAGUUC